GGGCAGCAGGACAGCGCCCUCAGCAGUGACGAUGAGUCUCUCCAUGAAGGCUGCACAGCAGCAGGCCACCGUCGCCCGAGAGCAUCCCGAGGAACACUUCAAUGUCCAGGUGUGAGGAUGUCAAGCCACCACAAGCCAGGAGGGAAGUGGCUGCUGGGGCCAAGACAGCAGGUGAAGCAGAACCCUUAAGCCUCAGGUCUUCACCCCUGGACGAAGGAGGUGUUUCUUGGCGGCCAAACUCGGGAGACUCACCAGAAAAGACCUUGGUAGAUGAUGCAAGUUUUGCUCGCUGGAGACCACAAGAGUAUUCACCCGUGCCUCAUAUUGUGGGUGAGGAGAGCAGCCUGCACCAUCUCCCAAGAGAGUAGCAGAGGGCAGAGGGCGGCGUGCGGCCCUGCAUUGCAUCAAAUCAGCUGCCCCAUCACGGCCAUGCCCACGCCCGUCAUUCUGGGCCAAGGAGAACCUCGGGUGGCAGGCAGCACAGCGGGGGAGGCGGCGGUGCCAGGCCAGGAGGAAUUUGGCGAUGACAUUUACCAUCUGGCGAGGGAGCAGCCGUGGGUGGUGGCAGCAACUCAUCGAGCGGCGUGGAGGAGGGAGCCGCCAGGGUGGACCACGCCUACAGCCUGCACGUCACUGCCCGCCAUGCACUAAGGGCUGUGGGCGUG